UACGGGGGGGGGCAAGCGUUGUUCGGAAUUACUGGGCGUAAAGGGCUCGUAGGCGGCCAACUAAGUCAGACGUGAAAUCCCUCGGCUUAACCGGGGAACUGCGUCUGAUACUGGUUGGCUUGAAUCCGGGAGAGGGAUGUGGAAUUCCUGGUGUAGCGGUGAAAUGCGCAGAUAUCAGGAGGAACACCGGUGGCGAAGGCGGUUCUCUGGGCAUGUCCUGACGCUGAGGAGCGAAAGUGUGGGGAGCGAACAGGG
rnacentral:rRNA from 1 species